GAUGAACGCUGGCGGCGUGCCUAAUACAUGCAAGUCGAACGAACAGACGAUGCGCUUGCUCCUCUCACGUUAGCCGCUGACGUGUGAGUAACACAUUGAUACCCUACCUAUAAGACUGGGAUAACGUCGGGAAACCGGAGCUAGUACCGUAUAAUAUCUUGAACUUCAUUGUUCAAUAGUGAAAGACGGUUUUGCGGUCACUUAUAGAUACAUCCGCGCCCCAUUAGGUAGUUGGUAAGGUAACGGCUAACCAAGGCAACGUUCCGUAGCCGACCUGAGAGGGUGAUCGGCCACACUGGACCUGAGACACGGUCCAGACUCCUACGGGAGGCAGCAGUAGGGAAUCUUCCGCAAUGGGCGAAGGCCUGACGGAGCAACGCGGCGUGAGUGAUGAAGGUCUUCGGAUCGUAAACCUCUGUGAUUAGGGAAGAACAAAUGUGUAAGGAACUAUGCACGCCUUGACGGUACCUAAUCAGAAAGCCACGGCUAACUACGUG
rnacentral:rRNA from 1 species